rnacentral:rRNA from 1 species
GGAGUUAGCCGGUGCUUCUUCUGUGAGUGAUGUCCUUCCUGCCGGCUAUUAACCCGCAGGCCUUCUUCCUCACUGAAAGUGCUUUACAACCCGAAGGCCUUCUUCACACACGCGGCAUGGCUGGAUCAGGGUUGCCCCCAUUGUCCAAUAUUCCCCACUGCUGCCUCCCGUAGGAGUCUGGGCCGUGUCUCAGUCCCAGUGUGGCUGAUCAUCCUCUCAGACCAGCUACGGAUCGUCGCCUUGGUGAGCCGUUACCUCACCAACCAGCUAAUCCGACAUAGGAUCAUCCGAUAGCGCGAGGCCCGAAGGUCCCCCGCUUUCCCCCUUAGGGCGUAUGCGGUAUUAGCCUGGGUUUCCCCAGGUUAUCCCCCACUACCGGGCAGAUUCCUAUGCAUUACUCACCCGUCCGCCGCUCGCCACCAGGGAGCAAGCUCCCCGUGCUGCCGCUCGACUUGCAUGUGUUAGGCCUGCCGCCAGCGUUCAAUCUGAGCCAGGAUCAAACUCUGA